rnacentral:rRNA from 1 species
GACGAACGCUGGCGGCAGGCCUAACACAUGCAAGUCGAGCGGAGCGGCGGACGGGGGAGUAAUGCCUAAGAAUCUGCCUGGUAGAGGGGGAUAACGUACGGAAACGGGCGCUAAUACCGCAUACUAUCAGAUGAGCCUAGGUCGGAUUCGCUAGUUGGUGGGGUAAAGGCUUACCCAGGCGACGAUCCGUAACUGGUCUGAGAGGAUGAUCAGUCACACUGGAACUGAGACACGGUCCAGACUCCGACGGGAGGCAGCAGUGGGGAAUAUUGGACAAUGGGCGAAAGCCUGAUCCAGCCAUUCCGCGUGUGUGAAGAAGGUCUUCGGAUUGUAAAGCACUUUAAGUUGGGAGGCGUUACCAACAGAAUAAGCACCGGCUAACUUCGUGCCAGCAGCCGCGGUAAUUC